GUCGGCUUGUCAGGUAAUUUCCAAAAAUCAAAUUCACAGGCAUUUGAUCAGCGGACAUUAAAAGAGUUAUAUUUGGGAAAAAAUGUUUAAACCUGUGUUAAUCGCAGUUGUAAUGGGCGUGUUGUCAGGUCAGGGUUCACAAGCUUUAGACUGCUGUGAUAGUUAUACGGAUGCACUAGGCGAUUAUCAUAAAGUAGAGUUAUGUCUUGACUACUGCUGCUGGACAAUAGGGGUGGCAUACAAAGGCUGCUGUAGCAACAUAUUUAGAAUUAUUCCUUCCUCUAAAACUAAAAACGAAGAAUGUAUUGACCGCUGGUUUAAAGAGAACGAAUGGUGGGCCAGAUGGGUGUUAACGCUUAUUGUCAUUGGUACUGUUUGGUGCUUAUCAAAUUGUUGUGGAUGCUUCAUAAGGAUCCUGCGCCAUUUAUAAUAUAUACCAACAUCAUCAUCAGCAGCUGCUAUGAUCAGUACUUACUACAACCAGCUUCACGACAUCAAGACUUGGCUGAUAAUGUAACAGCAGGAUUAGACACGUAAUUCAGAUGGGAAAAUAUGAUGAACUAGUUUUAGAAAUAAAAUAUUGCAUUUUGUAUAGGAAUACUUGUAAACAGGCAAAUAUGCUCAAUUUUUCAUAUAAUUAUUAUGUAAAUUGCACAUAAUGUAAGUAAAUAUAUAUCCUGGAUAAACAAAUAGCAGGAGAAAUAAUUGGAGCCCUUCAGGUAAUUUUUGGUGUUUGCUUUAACAUUCUUUCAAGAAUAUUGACUGUUCGAUUAAAAGAAAACCUAUAUUAUUCACGAUUUUGGGAACAUAUGCCCUUUUAGCGACAUUUUCCUGAAAUUAAGAAAUAUUCCGCUUUUCUGUUUCCGUAUGUUCUGCUGUUAAGGACGUAGUGUCUGUGGUAAUUAGUGCUUUUGAUGAUUACGCUGAGUUUUUUUGUAUCCAGAAUAUUUUUUGUCUUAAUUACCAGUUUUUCUGUUUUGUUUAGAAGACACUUGUUGCUGAGUGAGCCCAUCCCUCAGUUCCACUUUUCUGUUCGGUAGGAUAUGUUUUGUGGGUCAUUUGUUUGCCCUUUAGUCUGUCUAAAUUUUCUUAUAUGUGAUUCUACCGUAAG
rnacentral:lncRNA from 1 species